CUCCGGCGCCAGCGACAGCCCUUGGCGGAGGACCAUUUUCCCACCAGUCGGAACGACGAGUGCCCCAGCUACAAAGUCUCACCAUCCACCUUUGAAAUUGCCACACAGGUCUUUUUACUUGCCAAAGGAAGACGACGAAGGAAACGAUCUCUGAGUGGCAAGUUGUUUGCAUGAAGCAUGGUCACCGCUGCUGAGGAAUCCUUUGGCUUGGGCUGAGUCGGUCCCUCCCGCGUCUUCAGUCCUUGCGGUGACAUCCACGUUGUUCCGCUCACGAUAAAUGAAGGGCCUCUCGGGCUGUGCUCCUCACCUCAUAAUGAGAAUUACCAGCAGGCCUGGGUGGAUCCAAAGUAAUGUGAGCCUGCUGUCCUGCA